GAAAGCCAAAAAAAGUAGUCCUGGUCGAAGGGACACUCACAAAAUUGCUUGUGAAAUGAAAUCAAAUAAAAGGCGUUUUAUUAAGGACCCUGGCCUGCAAAGCUGCCAGCUGCUAUGGAAUAAGAGUGUUAUUUUGACUCCUCUCAGUUCCCAGUCCAAAGUCCGGGUCACAGUCGUCCGGAAUGUGACGGGUGGUGCCCAGCUGAUGGUACGUGAGAAAUGCAGAAUCUCCGCUCCAGUCAUCUCUUAAAUCACAGCCUGUCCCACUUGACUUUACGAGGAUGGGGGCGGGUUACUGGAGGAGUCACCAGUCUGGCAACUUUAUGUAUUAAUGCACUUAAAAGUCCUGGGCACGAGCAGGAGCAGUAAGAGUGUGUUAAAGAGCUGGCAGGUACUUGGAAGCAGCAAUUCACCUGACAGCGCUGGGGAAUGCCUUACAUAUACACGUGAUUCUACUUUAAGCUUUAUUGAGUUAAUUCUAAAGCGACCACGUUGCCAGCUGGGACCCGGAAGUGCACGGAAAGAAUUGUUAGGGGGUAUAUGAGUCUCAUAUACUCAUAUUAUGAGCUAGAAGUAACGGG